GAUGAACGCUGGCGGUAUGCCUAACACAUGCAAGUCGUACGAGAGUUUUUAACUCAAGUGGCGGACGGGUGAGUAACACGUGAGAAUUUACCUUUAGGAGGGGGACAACAAUUGGAAACGAUUGCUAAUACCCCAUAUGCUCUAGAGUGAAACGGAUUUUUCCGCCUAAAGAAAAGCUCGCGGCUGAUUAGCUUGUUGGUAAGGUAAUGGCUUACCAAGGCGACGAUCAGUAUCUGGUUUGAGAGGACGAUCAGACACACUGGAACUGAGACACGGUCCAGACUCCUACGGGAGGCAGCAGUGGGGAAUUUUCCGCAAUGGGCGAAAGCCUGACGGAGCAAUACCGCGUGAGGGAAGACGGCCUAUGGGUUGUAAACCUCUUUUUUCAGGGAGGAACAAAAUGACGUGUACCUGAAGAAUAAGCAUCGGCUAACUCCGUGCCAGCAGCCGCGGUAAGACGGAGGAUGCAAGUGUUAUCCGGAAUCACUGGGCGUAAAGCGUCUGUAGGUGGUUUGUUAAGUCAACUGUUAAAUCUU
rnacentral:rRNA from 1 species